UUCGGACAAGGCACCAAGCUGACUGUGACAAGCUCCAGCCUCCCUCCUCCUGUCCUGACAGUCUUCCCUCCGUCCAGUGCUGAGCUCCAGUCCAACAAAGCCGCUCUGGUCUGUCUGUCCAGUCAGUCUGUGCCUUUUGCAGAUGUGAGCUGGUUGGCUGGUGGGAGUCCAGUGAGCAGCGGGAUCUCUACCAGCACCGCUGUUCAGCAAGCAGACCACACUUUCCAAAUCAGCAGCUAUCUGGCCAUCCAGACGUCAGACUGGAACAUGGAUAAGGUUUACACAUGUAAAGUGUCUUUGGGCUCCCAGACUUCAGAGAAAAACAUCCACAAGUCAGACUGUCCCACUGAAGAAUAGCAGAGGAGCAGAAUUACCAUUUCAAAGCUGCUUCUUUACUCUUUGUGCUGUUUGCUCAUUACAAGGUUCACAUGCUGGAAAAGAUGUGUGUGCAUGCUUGUAAUACAUGUUGUGACCGUUAGGUGGAGGUGUUGUAUCAGCUUUGCAACUGCUGCAUUUGUCAAGACUCAUUCAAUAAAAAAUAAACAUACAAAAACUGUU